AAAAAAAUCCUUCGUGGUUUGAUCUAAUCUAUAGCUACAGACCACAGUUCAAAAGUGAAAGACCCUCUGCAAAGAAAAAAAAUGUUGAGAAAUUAUGUGAACGCAAGAUUAAUCUCCAAGCCUAAUAUAAGAUCACCAUGUCUUUACUCUCUUUACCUUAAGAGAGGAAGUGCGAGUGGAGGAAGGGAAGAAGGAAGAGAUCCUCUUUCCACGCUACAGAAGCUCGAGAGACAAGGUAUUGCUAGCCAGACGUCGGAGAAAGCUUACGACUGAGCAGCGGAGGCGAUCAACGUGUCUAGUGAUUCUGAGGCGGAUAAGGAGAAAGUGAAAGAAGAGUUUGAAAAGAGGGAAGAGGGUAGAGACUAUCGCAAGAGGUGUGAUGAUGAUCGUUUGCCUAUCAACACUGCUAAAGGAGUAUGAUGAUGAAAGGUCUUAUAUGCACUUGUUAGUAUCAUCGUAUGAUGGAGAUGGUAACCUACAUUUGUAUGUGAUAAUAUAGUCGUGUGCGAUUUUGGGUAUA